AUGCAGAAAGGACACGCCUCCCUUGCGCUCCUCACGACAUGGUCCAUCUGGCGCCAUCGCAGUGCAUGCAUCUUCAACCAUGCGCACCCCUCUACCUCGCACCUCCUUCAGGUCAUCAAGGACGACGCUUGGGCAUGGGCUACUGCAGGGGCCAAGGACAUCGCGAACUUUAUGCCUCCUUGA
rnacentral:rRNA from 1 species